UACAGCCAUAUCCCCUUGAAACACAGGUUCCUGUAUGAUCACUGAAGUUAAGCAUCGUCGAGUAUGGUUAGUAGCUAGAUGGGUAACGGCUUGGAAAUACCAGGUACUGUAAG